UGUAGGGUGGUGAAAUUUUUGGCAGACACACCUCCUUGUCCCGGUGGCGGAGAGUUUGGGAAAAUCCAGCUUGCUGGUAAUAACCACUCUGUGAAGGUUCGAGUCCUUCCCCUACAG
rnacentral:tRNA from 1 species